UUCACCGUUUUGUCGCCCAAUCAGGUUUAGAUUUCUGUUUCUGAACCUUUCUCUACCGCCUCAUCUCAACACCGUCUAUUGUACCCUCUGCUCCCCCACCCACUGUCUCCAUUUACGUCUCCUCCACCGAUUAGCGUAAGUGGGAGAAGAAGACGCCUCCACCGAUUCCGCUCAAUAUCGGUAAGUGGGAGAAGAUGUCCGCAGGUUGGCGAUGAAUGGAUCGACAACGCCUUCCAUCAUCUUCACCAGGUCGAUGGUUCUUCUGCCUCACGCAACCGUCUGGUUACCCGACUUUCUCUCUCUCUCCUUUAAUUCUCUUCUUCUGCAAUUCUGAUCCCGACCGUCUGGUUACCCGCUUCUGUUGUUUCUCUUUAUUUUUAUCUCUUCCUUCGUUUUGGGGUAUGAUUUCGUCGCCCUGUAGAGGAUUGAUGCAAAAUAACUUCAAAUCACAGGAAUAGAUUUGGGGAAAGGUUUCAUCGGAGAUAACAGGUGAGAUUCGAUCUCUAGAAACACCACACAACUACGAACGAAGAGAAAAUAUGGGAGAAGAACAACAACAUCAAGACGAUAAAGAGAACAAGGACUUAGACAUUACUUUUAUCUGUGGUAAAUUACAUGAUGAAGUCAGCAACACAUGUAUUUCAUUGUACAUAUAUUAACAUCAAUUUUUUAAACCAUUCAUUUGUUAGAAGAACUCCCAAAAGAUAAUGAAAAUUUGAUGAUUUACAUUGUCUGUUAUCUAGCAAGCCAGGUACCAUUUUUUGUUUUCUAUAUUUUUUUAGUUAUAUCUUCUACUAUGAAAUCAUAUUUGUAGGUAUUUUCACAUUCAUCCAUUAGUAUCACGUCUAUGUGCAUCAAUCUAUUGUACAACCCAGGUUCUUUAGUUCUUCAUCCUUUCAAGAUAAAUUGCUUGCUAAUCUUUUGGAGCCACUAAUAUGUGAAGUCUUCAUCGAAUAUUCACAAAAUUCAGCCUGGAAAGAAUAAAUUAGAGUCCACUGAGGAUGUUAUGUUGGAGCAAAGAAUAAAUUAGAGUACACUGAAAAAGAUCUAAUAGAAAAAGAAGAGGAACUUCAAGAUUUGGAAGCGCUUAAUGCCUUAAUCAAGCAUUGAUAAUCAAAGAAAGAUCAAGCAAUGAUUAAUUACAGGGUGCUCGCAAAGAGUUGAUUUCUGUAGCAGUUGGCUACGAAACUAAUGAAUCUGCUAGAAGAUAAUAAAGAUUGAGGAUGUUUGAAUGCAGAGGACGAACAAAAUGAGAAUUACCAAAUUUCAUGGUAAGAAAAUCCAAAUCACAAUUGGACAAAUUACAUUAUGUACUUUUGAAUACCAAUUGGUUCAUUUGGAAGUACUCGAUGAUCUGAAUUGAGAAUAUGAUAGAUGAAUUCUUAUUGAAUUCUAACACAAAAAAAUAUAUUUUGAAGUGCAUCAGGUAUGAUAUUAGUCUUCAAUAUAAACAAACAGAAUGUUAAAAUGGUCAUUUACUACUUUUUUGUUUCUGUCAAGUUCAGGCCCUUGCAUCUGAAAGAGAACUUAUAUUCAUGUUGCUCAACCCGAAUGAUCCAACAAUGGAGCACAUAAAUUCCAAUAAUUUUCAUAGCACAUUUGCUGCUUUGAACCCAUCCUUCUAGAGCAAUUGAUCAGAACAGAACAGAGAAAGCUAUAAUGUUUUUUGUGGAUUAAGAAAUGGAGUUGUUAAGACUAUUGAGUCUCGCCAAAAAUUUAAUGAUAAUGAGAGUAUAUUUGUCUUUUUUCUUUUGGUAGUUGUAUACAUCUUAUUCUACUCUUUUGGAUACAAUAUUUGAUCUCCUAUAAAAAGAUGUAAAAACAUGACAUUUAACCUAUUUUUCUUGCUUUGUGUGUUAUUAAUAUUAGAUGAGUAAGUGGAUUUAACUUGA